CCUACGGGAGGCUGCAGUGGGGAAUUUUGCGCAAUGGGGGAAACCCUGACGCAGCAACGCCGCGUGCGGGAUGACGGCCCUCGGGUUGUAAACCGCUUUCAGCAGGGACGAUAUUGACGGUACCUGCAGAAGAAGCUCCGGCGAACUACGUGCCAGCAGCCGCGGUAAUACGUAGGGAGCGAGCGUUGUCCGGAUUCAUUGGGCGAAAAGCGCGCGUAGGCGGCUGCCUAGGCGGAACCUCUUACCCCGGGGCUAAACCUCGGGCCGGGUUCCGAACUGGAUGGCUCGAGUGCGGUAGAGGAGGGCGGAAUUCCCGGUGUAGAGGUGGAAUGCGGAGAUAUCGGGAAGAACACCGAUGGCGAAGGCAGCUCUCUGGGCCGGCACUGACGCUGAGGCGCGAAAGCUGGGGGAGCGAACAGGAUUAGAUACCCUUGUAGUC
rnacentral:rRNA from 1 species